GACGUAGGAGGCAAGCGUUGUUCGGAAUUACUGGGCGUAAAGCGUCCGUAGGCGGAUCUGUAAGUGGAUAGUUAAAUCCCGGGGCUCAACCCCGUGGGUGCUACCCAGACUGCAGGUCUGGAGGUCGGCAGAGGGUGAUGGAAUUCCCGGUGUAGCGGUGAAAUGCGUAGAUAUCUGGAAGAACACCAGUGGCGAAGGCGGUCAACUGGCCCGAAACUGACGCUGAGGCACGAAAGCGUGGGGAGCGAACAGG
rnacentral:rRNA from 1 species